UUUAUUAUGUAUUUAUUUUCGCCAUUUUGACUAUAAAAUUAGGUUGUGUCUGUUGUUGUUGUUGUUGUUAUUAUUAUUAUUAUUAUUCUUAUUAUUAUUAUUAUUUCUCUAUUAUUUGUUAGGUCAUUACUUAUUAUUUUGUUGUUAACAGUUAUGUUGUUAGUCAUUAUUGUUUGGUUAGUUUAUUUCCUCAUUCAUCUUGUUAUGUUAAUUAUUGCAUAUCACCUUAUACGGUUUUUAUCAAUUUCAUAUAAUUGUUGCUAUAGUUGAUUUGUCCAUUUUUCUUAUUAGUUUGUUAAUUUAUUCAAUAGUUAAAAAUGGCCAAUGAGAAAAUCUCUCCGUCGAUUUUAAAGGCCUUUACAUUGUAAAAGACGGAAUUUUAGUUUAAGUUUAUGCAUUUUAUUUGUUAAAAAUGACCAAUGAAAAAAUCUCUCCGUCGAUUUUAGAGGUCUUCCCAUUUUAAAAGACGGAAUUUUAGUUUAAGUUUAUGCAUUUUAUUUGUUAAAAAUGACCAAUGAAAAAAUCUCUCCGUCGAUUUUGGAGGCCUCCACAUUCCAAAAGACGAAAAUUUAGUUUAAGUUUAUAUGUACUGUUUGUUAAAAUUGGACGAUGAAGAAAUUACCGUCGAUUUCUAAGGCCUCCCAUGUUAAUAAGACGGAUGUUUAUUUUUAAGUUAUUGUCUAAUUCAUUUACUUUUAGUCAUAUUUAUUUAGUACUAACACUUUUACUAAGUGUCUUUACAGGUUCCCCGAAGUCGCUUCUCAUCGAAGUCAUUCGAAUAAAGUUCGAAUGUUAUAUUCAUUAUNNN
rnacentral:lncRNA from 1 species